UGCUGUCACUUAUAGAUGGAUCCGCGCUGCAUUAGCUAGUUGGUAAGGUAACGGCUUACCAAGGCAACGAUGCAUAGCCGACCUGAGAGGGUGAUCGGCCACACUGGAACUGAGACACGGUCCAGACUCCUACGGGAGGCAGCAGUAGGGAAUCUUCCGCAAUGGGCGAAAGCCUGACGGAGCAACGCCGCGUGAGUGAUGAAGGUCUUCGGAUCGUAAAACUCUGUUAUUAGGGAAGAACAUAUGUGUAAGUAACUGUGCACAUCUUGACGGUACCUAAUCAGAAAGCCACGGCUAACUACGUGCCAGCAGCCGCGGUAAUACGUAGGUGGCAAGCGUUAUCCGGAAUUAUUGGGCGUAAAGCGCGCGUAGGCGGUU
rnacentral:rRNA from 1 species